rnacentral:rRNA from 1 species
UACAUAGGCCCCAAGCGUUACUGAGAAUCACUGGGCUUAAAGGGUGCGUAGGUGGCGCGUUAAGUCCGUUGUGAAAGCCCUGGGCUCAACCCAGGAACUGCUUCGGAUACUGGCGCGCUUGAGGCUAGUAGGGGUCACUGGAACUGACGGUGGAGCGGUGAAAUGCGUAGAUAUCGUCAGGAACGCCAAUGGUGAAGACAGGUGACUGGACUAGUUCUGACACUGAGGCACGAAAGCGUGGGGAGCGAACGGG